GAGGUCGUGGCUCAGCGGUAGAGCGCUCGCCUAGCACAUGUGAGGCCCUGGGUUCGAUCCUCAGCACCACA
rnacentral:tRNA from 1 species